CCUACGGGGGGCUGCAGUGGGGAAUAUUGGACAAUGGGGGGAACCCUGAUCCAGCCAUGCCGCGUGUGUGAAGAAGGCCCUCGGGUUGUAAAGCACUUUCAGUGAGGAAGAACGCCUGGUGGUUAAUACCCAUCAGGAAAGACAUCACUCACAGAAGAAGCACCGGCUAACUCCGUGCCAGCAGCCGCGGUAAUACGGAGGGUGCGAGCGUUAAUCGGAAUUACUGGGCGUAAAGCGCGCGUAGGUGGCUUGAUAAGCCGGUUGUGAAAGUCCCGGGCUCAACCUGGGAACGGCAUCCGGAACUGUCAAGCUAGAGUGCAGGAGAGGAAGGUAGAAUUCCCGGUGUAGCGGUGAAAUGCGUAGAGAUCGGGAGGAAUACCAGUGGCGAAGGCGGCCUUCUGGACUGACACUGACACUGAGGUGCGAAAGCGUGGGUAGCAAACAGGAUUAGAUACCCUAGUAGUC
rnacentral:rRNA from 1 species